UCCCUGGGUGGGCGCAGCGGCUUCCUGGGUCCCCCUCACGCUCUGGGUCAGAGUUCCUUUACAGGCGGACCUGAGAGGCAACUCACCGACUCCUGCCCUGGACCCUCCUGCGCCACUGAACCCCCUGACCUGGGAGCCUCGGAACCUAGGGCUCAGGAGAUGAACCAGGACUUAUCCGAAGGUACCAAGUGAACUUCUAGGAAAAGUCCAAUUCUCAGAUGCUGGAUGUCUUCCAAAAAUGAAGCAAAUUAGUAACUUAGUAGCUGAGUCAACUAAUCCUGUUAGAUGGUCAACACUGGUUUUUUUAUUUUAAUAUUUUUAAGUGGCAACUCUAGUGUGUGAGAAAAUUAAUGUGACAGCUGAAUUUGUAGAAAGCUGCUUUGACUCUCUUGGGCCCCUUCAUAAGCCCUGGAACUAAAUAAAAGUCUAGUGAAUACAGCCCCGCCACCCUCAAGCCACACCCCAUUGAUCAUUUGCUAAAGAUUUUAGUACCUGGCUCUGGCCUGCUUUCCACCGUCAACACUCACAUCAAGGCACCUGGAUCUCUUCUCCGCCGGCAAUCCUGCCUUCCGCCUUCAGGGCAACUCCUUCCAAAUCCCUGGGCUGCUGUGUAUGACUGCUGGGGUGAACGUCGCCAUGUACUCUACCCCUUACUGUGCUAUCGUUCAGAGCUGGGCUGGUGGUGCAUGCCUGUAGUUCCAGCUACUCAGGAGUCUGAGGUGGGAGGAUUACCUGAGCCCAGGAAGUCAAGGCUGCAGUGAGCCAUGAUCCUGCCACUGCACUCCAGCCUGGGUAAUAAAAACCAGCCUGUUUCAAAAACCCAAACAAAUAACAAACAAAAAAAAUGCAAAAUGAAGAAAGAGUCGUCUCAGGAGCACGUUCCUCUGUGUGUGUGAGGAAAUGUUACAUAUAUAGUAUAUGUAGAGCGACAGAGACUCACAGAGAGAGAGAACGAGUCUAAAG
rnacentral:lncRNA from 1 species